rnacentral:snRNA from 1 species
AUCGCUUCUCGGCCUUUUGGCUAAGAUCAAAGUGUAGUAUCUGUUCUUAUCAGCUUAAUCUCUGGUACGGUCUCCAUAGGGGACCCAGAAGAUUAAACUGAUUUUUGGAAAAUGACGGAGUGCUAGGGGCUUGCUCCACCUCUGUCGCGGGUUGACCCGGUAUAGCAGUACCUCCGGGAACGGCCCACUCUAU